rnacentral:rRNA from 1 species
UUUGCCUACGGGAGGCAGCAGUGAGGAAUAUUGGUCAAUGGGCGGGAGCCUGAACCAGCCAAGUCGCGUGAGGGACGACGGUCCUAUGGAUUGUAAACCUCUUUUGUCGGGGAACAAAGGCGUCCACGGGUGGGCGGAUGAGUGUACCCGAAGAAAAAGCAUCGGCUAACUCCGUGCCAGCAGCCGCGGUAAUACGGAGGAUGCGAGCGUUAUCCGGAUUUAUUGGGUUUAAAGGGUGCGCAGGCGGAGGUGCAAGUCAGCGGUCAAAUUGCGGGGCUCAACCCCGUACUGCCGUUGAAACUGCA